rnacentral:rRNA from 1 species
UCUCUCCGAAUCUGCGAACGGCUCCGCAAACCAGUUGUAAACCAUAGCAAGGCCGAGCCGAGCCACCCUCGGGUGGCUCGGCAUUUAUAUGGAUACCCGUGGUAAUUCUGAGGCUAAUACAUGACAAACCGAACCGACCUCGGCUUCGAGCCAGGGUCGGGGACGUGCGAUAUAAUGCUGGGAAACCAAUCGUGAAUGAGCGCACGUCCAGACCACCGUCGAGUGGGCAGAUCCUCGGGUCUGUCCUGGUGGCCCUUGCAGCGGGCUCCUGACCUAUCAACUACACAGCAGCGUAAGGGACAUGCUAUGGUGACAACGGGUACAGAGGAUUAGGGUUCGAUCCUGGAGAGUGGGCCUGAGAGAUU